CCGCCUGCCCAGUGACUAUAUGUUCAACGGCCGCGGUAUUCUGACCGUGCGAAGGUAGCGUAAUCACUUGUCUUUUAAAUAAAGACUGGUAUGAAUGGCCUCACGAGAGCCUUACUGUCUCCCUUAUUUAAUCAGUGAAACUGAUCUUCCCGUGCAGAAGCGGGAAUUUUAUCAUAAGACGAGAAGACCCCAUGGAGCUUAAAACCUAAAAUUACCUGCUCAAACAUAUUUCCUACGGGACCACCCUUUAGCCUUGCAGAAGAUAAUUUAAGUUUUCGGUUGGGGUGACCACGGAGAAAAAUAAAUCCUCCUUGAUGAAUAAUUAAUUUAAACCACGAGCCACUGCUCUAAGUAUUAGAACUUCUAACUAAAUUGAUCCAAUAAUUUUGAUCAACGGACCAAGUUACCCUGGGGAUAACAGCGCAAUCUAUUUCAAGAGUCCAUAUCGACAAAUGGGUUUACGACCUCGAUGUUGGAUCAGGGUAUCCCAGUGGUGCAGCCGCUACUUAAGGUUCGUUUGUUCAACGAUUAAAACCCU
rnacentral:rRNA from 1 species